UUAUUUUGGCAGAAUAGUGCAUUUGAUUUAGAAUCAUUUUAAGUAAUUUUUUACAUAUAAUAU
rnacentral:tRNA from 1 species